GGAGGGGUGUCUGAGUGGCUGAAAGAGAUGGUCUUGAAAACCAUUAAGGACCUAACGGUCCUUCGUGGGUUCGAAUCCCACCCCCUCCGCCA
rnacentral:tRNA from 1 species